rnacentral:misc_RNA from 1 species
UUUUGGCUAAUGGUUGUCUCCCUAGCAAUUGAGUUAGGUUGGUGGCUGUUAGUUGAGUGAUUUCGGGGAUGUCUACCGUAAAGGUGCAUGAGUGGUGUUUGGUUUGUUUCGGGUGGUUGGCAUCCUUGCUUGCGCAACCAACUUCCACCUGGCUUACCUCUUCAGUUGUGUGUCAACGCUUGUAUCGCGUCGAAUGCAUUGUGGGUUUCCUGUACUGUAUCCCCAGUUGAUGGUAUUGUAUGUUGAAUCGAUGCAGAUUUUCGUCUUGUGUCGCACAUGCGAUGCGAGAUGAUCAUGAAAGCAGCCUUUUUGAUCCAUUUGUUUGAUGCGCAAGCAUUGAUGUUAUGGCUCAUUGAGUGUUUGCUUGGUCUCGUGGAUAUGGAACCUUUUGUGGGCAUGUGAUCUUUGAGUAGCUCCUUGUUUGCCCCGUCCUAAGCUUUUCAAAUACGAUUUCCUAUCAUGCUCAAACGUGGUAGGGUAUGUCGGAUAUGAAUG